rnacentral:rRNA from 1 species
UACGUAGGGACCGAGCGUUGUCCGGAUUCAUUGGGCGUAAAGAGCUCGUAGGCGGCCACUCAAGUCGAAUGUGAAACCUCGAGGCUUAACCUCGAGCCUGCAUUCGAUACUGGGCGGCUAGAGUCUGGUAGGGGGGAUCUGGAAUUCCUGGUGUAGCGGUGGAAUGCGCAGAUAUCAGGAGGAACACCGGUGGCGAAGGCGGGAUCCUGGGCCAGUACUGACGCUGAGACGCGAAAGCGUGGGGAGCGAACAGG